AUGAAGGAUUUUAAAAAUACUAAAUAGCCUUAUUACUGAUAUGGAGAAAGGUUUAUUGAUUUGAAUAGAAGAUCAAACCAGCCACAACAUUCUUUUAAGCCAAAGACUAACCUAGGGCAAGGCCCUAACUAUCCUCAAUUCUGUGAAGGCUGAGAGAGAUGAGGAAGCUGCAGAA